UGAGGAAUAUUGGUCAAUGGACGCAAGUCUGAACCAGCCAAGUAGCGUGCAGGAUGACGGCCCUAUGGGUUGUAAACUGCUUUUAUAUGGGAAUAAAGUGAGGGACGUGUCCCUUAUUGCAUGUACCAGAUGAAUAAGGACCGGCUAAUUCCGUGCCAGCAGCCGCGGUAAUACGGAAGGUCCAGGCGUUAUCCGGAUUUAUUGGGUUUAAAGGGAGCGUAGGCUGUUUGUUAAGCGUGUUGUGAAAUGUAAGAGCUCAACUUUUAGAUUGCAGCGCGAACUGGCAGACUUGAGUGCGCACAACGUAGGCGGAAUUCAUGGUGUAGCGGUGAAAUGCUUAGAUAUCAUGACGAACUCCGAUUGCGAAGGCAGCUUACGGGAGCGCAACUGACGCUAAAGCUCGAAGGUGCGGGUAUCGAACAGG
rnacentral:rRNA from 1 species